rnacentral:rRNA from 1 species
UGGGGAAUUUUGGACAAUGGGCGAAAGCCUGAUCCAGCAAUGCCGCGUGUGUGAAGAAGGCCUUCGGGUUGUAAAGCACUUUUGUCCGGAAAGAAAUCCUUGGCUCUAAUACAGUCGGGGGAUGACGGUACCGGAAGAAUAAGCACCGGCUAACUACGUGCCAGCAGCCGCGGUAAUACGUAGGGUGCAAGCGUUAAUCGGAAUUACUGGGCGUAAAGCGUGCGCAGGCGGUUUGCUAAGACCGAUGUGAAAUCCCCGGGCUCAACCUGGGAACUGCAUUGGUGACUGGCAGGCUAGAGUAUGGCAGAGGGGGGUAGAAUUCCACGUGUAGCAGUGAAAUGCGUAGAGAUGUGGAGGAAUACCGAUGGCGAAGGCAGCCCCCUGGGCCAAAUACUGACGCUCAUGCACGAAAGCGUGGGGAGCAAACAGGAUUAGAUACCCUGGUAGUCCACGCCCUAAAACGAUGUCAACUAGUUGUUGGGGAUUCAUUUCCUUAGUAACGUAGCUAACGCGUGAAGUUGACCGCCUGGGGGAGUACGGUCGCAAGAUUAAAAACUCAAAUGAAUUGACGGGGUUAUAGCUGUUUCCU